rnacentral:rRNA from 1 species
GAUGAACGCUGGCGGCGUGCCUAACACAUGCAAGUCGAACGGGAUGCGUAUCGGAAAGCUUCGGCCGGAAGAUACGUUAUCUAGUGGCGGACGGGUGAGUAACACGUGGGUAACCUGCCUUAUGGAGGGGGAUAACAGAGAGAAAUCACUGCUAAUACCGCAUAAGCACACAGUACCGCAUGGUACAGGGUGAAAAGAUUUAUCACCAUAAGAUGGACCCGCGUCUGAUUAGCCAGUUGGCAGGGUAAAAGCCUACCAAAGCAACGAUCAGUAGCCGAUCUGAGAGGAUGACCGGCCACAUUGGGACUGAGACACGGCCCAAACUCCUACGGGAGGCAGCAGUGGGGAAUAUUGCACAAUGGGGGAAACCCUGAUGCAGCGACGCCGCGUGAGUGAAGAAGUAUUUCGGUAUGUAAAGCUCUAUCAGCAGGGAAGAUAAUGACAGUACCUGACUAAGAAGCCCCGGCUAACUACGUGCCAGCAGCCGCGGUAAUACGUAGGGGGCAAGCGUUAUCCGGAUUUACUGGGUGUAAAGGGAGCGUAGACGGAGUGGCAGGUCUGAAGUGAAAACCCUGGGCUUAACCUGGGGACUGCUUUGGAAACUGUUAAUCUAGAGUGUUGGAGAGGUAAGUGGAAUUCCUGGUGUAGCGGUGAAAUGCGUAGAUAUCAGGAAGAACACCGGAGGCGAAGGCGGCUUACUGGACAAUAACUGACGUUGAGGCUCGAAAGCGUGGGGAUCAAACAGG